UUACCUAGUAGAGUCAUGUGUGAAUCAAAUGAGUUCUUACCUGAAAGGACUUAGCACAGUGCCUGGCAUACAGAGAGUCCUCAGUAAAUAUUGGCUGUUCUUAUUGUUAUUAUUAACCUGUUCCCCAAGAUCAAAAUCGGGGUGUAGUGUGUGCUGACGAAUGAAUGCGCUCCUGGUUGCAUGACUUAAUAAGCAAUGCGUCUGAGGCAAGGGCUGAACUAUGAGAAUGGGCAAGGUGGAGCUGGAAAGGCAGGUCAGGUACAGGAAACGCACCUUGAAGGUAGCUCAGGGUGCUGCCCUGGUGCACUUCCUCCACUCCCCCAAGAGGUGUGUGGAGCUGAUCUGUGGGCCCUAGGAGAGGAUCUGUGUUUGGGGGAGUGUGUGGAGAAUGAUCAUUAGCAAGAUGAGAAGGGAAGGGCAGUGGAAGUGGGGAGAUCAUGUAAGAGGGGGUUGACUCAUCUAGGAAGCAAUAACGAGCCCUAGGGAAGACAACUGUGGUUGCAACAGAUGGUAGAGACAUUUUGGAGACAGAACCAACUCCUUCAAAGCAAACUCAGAAAGACAAUCUACUUUUUAUGCUCUAUCAGGUAGCAAAAAUACGAUUAACAUGAAUGAUGUGAUUCUUACCUACUGUUAAUUUCUAAACAGACUUUGAUUUUUAUUAACAGGCUUUGGGGCCUAUUAUUCAACAGAGAAGCAGACUGUUUUUCUCAUGGGGAAUGAUUAGACUAGAAAAAAAAAAUAAGGAAAUUCUUUCCUUGCUAGGUAAUAAUAGAGAGAUAUAGCAAGCGUGGCCAAAAUACAACAUGAAGGAAAGCUCUGGAACCUGCUGUUGUGAAACAGUUCUUGUCAGACCUCAGUGAGUACUGUAGCAGUUUCUCUCAGAAGUUAAAACAGGAAAUACACACCUGAUUAAACUCCUUUAAGUUCGGAUAGCUGCUGCUGCAGGUUUGAAAACCCUGGCAUUUCAAAAUCUCAAUAAAGUGACUUUCGAAGCAACAGAAGGGCAAACCUUUGAUAAGGCUGCAAGCCCUGCAAGACUGCACAUGGAGGUGAUGCUGCUGGGGGAGGUGAGGCACCUGAGGAAGGAACCUCGAUGAACUCAGGCACCUGUGGAGCACGCGGAUCCUGCUGCAUGCUUUCCUACGGGGCACUUAGAAACACUUCCAUUUUUUGAAAUCUUGCUUUCUUUGGGGUAUUUCUCCAUUUAAUCCAGUGGUUCUCAAAGUGUAGUUCUGAGACCAGCAGCAUCAGUAUCACCUGGGAACAGGCUUCUCUUGAGCUGCCCACGAGCUUCCUUGGAUGUGUGUCACCAAAAGAGCAAUGGUUACAGAAGAUGAGAAAAACCUAAGAGUGCAUGCAGCCACACGCCUCACACGCCCCUCCCCAGGGAUGGUGCUCAGUGAGGACUUUGCAUGCUGAGGCUUGAUUCCUAGUGGCAUGCGAGGGCAGAGGCCCCGAGCAGGACACGCCUGUCUUUAGCCACCUUCAGUGCAGACAGGGAAAAAGGCAGGCAGACUAAAGCCUGAGCCAACAGGUAGACCUAAAUGGAAUGGGUUUUCCAAGCUGUGAGAGACCCACCUUGAAAGUGGCCCAGAUGCUGUCUGGGCCUGCCCUGGUGGGGGUCUCAGAAGUGAAGAGGGGGCCUUCCUGAACUCUGAAGGGACCAAAUGUGAGACGGACCCUGGACCCGUGGUAGGGAGGGCUGUCAGCCAGGGCCUUCCCUUCUCUGCCCAACAUUGUUGGCUCUGAGUCUGUUUUUUUCCAACAGAACCAGAUUUUUUGUCAUAAAAUUCUUGGACUACUUGAGCUUCUGGAUUAUAAUGUCCUUUUUUUUUUUUUUUUUCCACAGUGAUGAUAGCUUUGGCCUCUCUUAUAAACACCUAAUGGGCAGAAAUUUUCUCCUUCAGAAGAAUAACAAAAAGAAAACACCAAGGAGCUUUCAUUAUAGUGCAGCUUCUUCUCUGGUUGAUGAGAGGCAUGACUGUGACCUGAAGCUGAUUUUGUUUAUUUGAAAGGAAAGACAAUUGUUCAUUCACUCAACAAACAUUUACUAAACACAUAGAGCUGCUGGGCUUCUGCUUGGCGUUGGGCAUAUUGUCAGCUCCAGCUCUGAAGGAACCAUGAGGUGAGGGGAUAAACAUGGGAAAAAUCACAGUUCAGGCAUCCAUGUACUGAUACCAACUGGUUUACACAGGCUGAAUAAAAGAAGAACAAAAAGCCUUCUAAGCAGACAAUAGAGAAUGUGUAAGCAGCAUGAAGUCAGGGGUAGUGAAACCAAGACCCCUAAAACCGAGUUCCCCUGCUGAGUUUGAUUAACCUCUCUGUCUAAAAUUAUUCCCUUUCUUGCUCCUUCUGACCUCAAUCCUGGGCUAACUGAACACUAAUCAACCAGAGUCAGAUGACUAAAACUGCUGUUGUCGAUAACAUCGUUAACCUACAAACUCAGGUUUUUUCUCCAGGACAAGAUGAGCUAACAGACCCCCAAGCCAUGGACCACCUGGCCAGAGAUAGUAAACCAGAGACAUCCUGACUCCUGAAACUACGAUUACGUUAUUAACCCCAGCUUCUUUGUUCUUCCCCUUAAAAAACCCUCUAACUCAAAGACUGAGUGGGAGUGAAUCUAAGGCGUGUCUCCCACUCCCUUGCUUGGCGCCCUGCAAUAAACCCUCACUUUGCCGCUAA